CAGUAGCCGCGGUAAUACAGAGGGUGCAAGCGUUAAUCGGAAUUACUGGGCGUAAAGCGCGCGUAGGUGGUUUGUUAAGUUGGAUGUGAAAUCCCCGGGCUCAACCUGGGAACUGCAUUCGAAACUGGCAGGCUAGAGUCUUGUAGAGGGGGGUAGAAUUCCAGGUGUAGCGGUGAAAUGCGUAGAGAUCUGGAGGAAUACCGGUGGCGAAGGCGGCCCCCUGGACAAAGACUGACGCUCAGGUGCGAAAGCGUGGGGAGCAAACAGGAUUAGAGACCCCGGUAGUCCCUGUCUCUUAUAC
rnacentral:rRNA from 1 species